AACGAACGCUGGCGGCAUGCCUAACACAUGCAAGUCGAGCGAGACCUUCGGGUAUAGUGGCGCACGGGAUCGUCACGCGAGGGGACCUGCACUUAGGUUGGGAAUAACUCCCAGCAAGGGGUACCAAUACCAGACAAUGUCUUCGGCCCAACGAUGUCUUGGCUUAGUAGGGGCACGCGUGGAAUUAGCUAUUGCGUUAGGUAAAAGCCCACCAAGGCGACGUUACCUAGCUGGUCUGGGAGGACGGUCCGCCCCCCUGGGACUGGGACCCGUCCCAGACGUCUACGGGUGGCAGCAGUGCGGAAUAUUGGACGCUGGGCGAGAGCCGGAGCUAUCCAUGCCGCGUGAGUGAUGUAGGCGUUAGGGUUGUAGAUCUCUGUUGACCGCGAUGAUAAUGACAGUACCGGGAGAGUAAGCUCCGGCUAACUCCGUG
rnacentral:rRNA from 1 species